CAAACCCAGCCAGAAUUGCAGAUCUAAUCCUCUUAAUAACGAGGCAAUAAUAGACAAAUCCAGUGUGAAUCAAUGAAUUCUAAAACAUGACUCGUCACCAUCACUCCUUAUUUCUUUUAAAUUGAUAUGCUAUAAUUUUAUUAAUUAAAGAAAGCUUAUGCGCAUGCAGGGUCACAUGGCAGUGCCUCAUAAAUCCGUGGUUGACUUCUUGUAUCAACAAUGCUUGUGCUGAUCUUCUUCUCUUUCGGCCCCAUCUCAACAGGCUCACCGCUAAAAGAUAUUAAAUGCAAAUGGUCACAAAAGCUGGACAUUACAACUUAGCGUUUCCAAUAUAGAUCGGAUCUGGAAAUGGAGAUCGAGAGAUUGCAACCGAGGCUCCGAAGAUGAUCAAGGAACACAAAACUUAAAAAGGUUUUAAUAAACCGGUUUAACUUUUAAAGAAAAAUGCUACACGCUUCGAAAUUGUACUUACUUCAAACGAUUUUAGAAUAAUAAGAACCCAACCAUUAAUAAUCUAAAGUCUGGUGCCAUGAGACACAUA